rnacentral:rRNA from 1 species
AAGCAGUGGAGUAUGUGGUUUAAUUCGAAGCAACGCGAAGAACCUUACCAGGGCUUGACAUCCCUUGAAGCAGCUAGAGAUAGCUGUGUCCUUCGGGACAAGGAGACAGGUGGUGCAUGGUUGUCGUCAGCUCGUGUCGUGAGAUGUUGGGUUAAGUCCCGCAACGAGCGCAACCCUUGUCAUUAGUUGCCAUCAUUUAGUUGGGCACUCUAAUGAGACUGCCGGUGACAAACCGGAGGAAGGUGGGGAUGACGUCAAGUCCUCAUGGCCCUUAUGGGUAGGGCUUCACACGUCAUACAAUGGUCGGUAACAGAGGGUUGCCAAGCCGCGAGGUGGAGCCAAUCCCUUAAAGCCGAUCGUAGUCCGGAUCGUAGUCUGCAACUCGACUACGUGAAGUCGGAAUCGCUAGUAAUCGCAGACCAGCAUGCUGCGGUGAAUACGUUCCCGGGCCUU